UUUGCCCUGACAAGUGUUACAGGUGUGGCUACUGUGUCGCAUGUGCUUUGAUAGGCAGCAGAGAGGAGAGAGGCUAUUUCUAUGCUCAGUAUUCUGCUUUAUGAAUGUCUGAUAUAGCCUAACUUU
ensembl:snoRNA LOC120099501 small nucleolar RNA SNORA17